rnacentral:other from 1 species
CUUUUAACCCGCCCCUAUCCGGGAGGGUUGUUGUAAC